AGGGGAGAGACAACUCGCACUUAGAAUAUAUCCUGUUUGAGAGAGAGAGAGAGAGAGCUUUAUGAUGUUGGCCAUUCAAUCGUCUAUGAUUUACACUGUCGGAGGAGGAGCUUUAAGUAAACGACUGCAGACUGGUUCAUGGACUCGAAAUCAUAUAAAACCUGUAAGACCUUGAGCUUAUUAUUGUUCUUUCACUUACAUAAGAUUAGUUAUGGAUGGUAAUGAGAAAAAUGGUUGAAUAAAUCAGGGAAAAAAAAUUGAAAAAAAAAAGAAUUGAGGCAUGGGGGGGAAUGGGUAUUUGCGGCUUUGCAUGAUACAUUCAUAAUAAUGAUGCCUUCCACCAUCCAAAAAAACUAAAAACUGACUGGACUGGAUCACAAGAAACAGAUCCAAGUGGGGAGAUCCUCAAGAUCUUCUAAAAUAGUAAAUAUCUUAUGGGUUUUCAUUGUCACAUACCAUUUCCUUCCCAAAGCAUUGUUUCCUUUUUUAACAUUAUAUGCAUACACAUAUAUACAUAUACAUAUAGAUAGACGUCUCAUAUCGUUUCCUACAUGUCUUGUGUUGCCAUGAUGUCUAUUUUUGGCCAAAAAAAGUGCAGUUGGUUUCUUCAGUUCACCAAAGAGAGAGAUGUGAUUUGUCUUUUUUCUCUAAUCACACGUGGAGAUAAAUUUACAGCACGCGUAGUACACGCGUGACUGAAAAGACAACCUUUUCGCUGUGUCAUAUGCUGUUUUGGUUCUGUGCUUAUUGCUGACAUCUCUGCAAGCUUCUGUUUCAAGUGGAGGCUUAGCUUUGCAACGAUUGUGAGUAACCCGCUACUGUUCUUUUGGGAGUAUUCGAUCUUGAUCUCAUGAACGUCGCAUACCCGCUACGCGAAUACGAUGAGGGCUCAUGUACAGGGGUAUAAAACGGUCUGGUUUGGUCCAGUCCAGUCAACCCACCUCAUCCUGAUCUCAGAAUUUUUUUAGCCUAAUCUGGUCACCCAACUCAUCCUGAUCUCAGAAUUUUUUAGCCAAACUCAGCCUGACCCAUUUUUUUACGAGCAAAAAAUUACUUAGUUCGGCACGACUCACUUGGCUCCCGGGGGAUUUGGAGGUGUGACCAAGGUUGACGAAAGAAAGAAAGAAUGACGUGUACCUUAUGGUCAAGAACGACCAAAGGAUGGAGGAGGUAAUGGUCGAAUUUUGAUCAUCUGAAUUUUAAUCCCAAUUUUUUUUUUCUAUAUGUAAUAACAAAACCUUAACUCGACCAAAUCUCCAAAUUUGAACAAUUCGAAACCCUCGACUCGGCCGUCAAACCUCAAGCUCUCUCGGCUCUCACAUCCGUGGUCGUCUCGCUGUCGAAACUCUAAUCCCUUCCAUAGAUAUAGGUAACCGUCCGAUGAAAUCCGAAAUCGAACCCGCAGCUCGAGUUUCCUGACACCACUACGC